CUUGGUCACAGGGAGAAAAACAAACACAAAACAUGGAACAGAGUCUAACAGUCCAUGAUUUCCACAGCUCGCCUUUGAUGAAUAAUACAGAACACAAAAAGCUUUAAAAAAUAAUCACUUAUUAAAUCACAAUUGCAAUAUUGGUUUCCAAGAUCGUUCAGCCCUAUUUGGAGCAGAUAGUAACUCACAGGCCAGGACAGUUUCAGCACCGAAUGGUGAUACAGAAGGAUCACGUACCUGCAAAGCGCUAGACAGAGGCGAACACACAGUUGGAGAACACUCAGCAUUGGACAAGGCCAGGACUGUGUUUACAUCACCAGAGCUGGGAGCCACUACAACGUGCCUGAAGGCUGGACCCAGGGAUAGGUAAAAACACCAGAACUUUAUCCCCAGGAUAAACUGUCUGACCAUGGCCUUUUUAUCAAACCAGUCUUUCAUCUUGGACUGAGCAGCAGACAAGUUUUGUGUAGCCAAUUCACAAGCAUGGUAUAACUUGUAACGAAAAGAGCUGACAUAAUCAAGCAGAUUUUGCAGUUUAGACUCAUUCAACCAAUUCUCCCAAAGCAGUUUUAAGGGACCACACACAUUAUGAGCAAACACUAAAUCUGUUGGGCUAAAACCAGUAGACUCCUGUACAACUUCUGUGUUGGUAUCUGCCACUGCUGUAAAGAAUCAUUCUCAGAGUCUUGGGGUUUUGAUGCCAGAUUUAAAAUUUUAUUAUCAAGAGACAAUAAAAACGAGAAAGCUCUGCAGAACGAUCUAUCGAGUCUGUGUCUGUACUCUCUUUUAUAAAGUGUUUCCUGAAGGCAUGCUCAUGUUCAAUACAUUUCAUACAUAUGGUUAUUGUUUAUUAACUCUUUUACCUUUUUUGACUGUGUCUUCAGCACUUGACUAGGGGGGAGUAAAAGAUCUCCCUCAUUUAAGAUAAAACAAUGUUAUAAGCAU